AAUUCUCAACCUUUGUUAGCUUUUGCUGAUAAUGGCUUGGAUGUGGGGGUUGCCGGCUUCGGUCAGCUCUCCUUAAAUGCAUUAGCCGGUGCCCUAUGUGGACUGUCUGUUGGCGUGAUAAUUAUCUACGUCACGUGAUGUCUGCAACUUGAGCGCGCUGCUUCUAACCGUCUGUUCAUUCAGACAAUUCAAUGACAA
rnacentral:misc_RNA from 2 species